ACGAACGCUGGCGGCGUGCCUAAUACAUGCAAGUAGAACGCUGAAGAGAGGAGCUUGCUCUUCUUGGAUGAGUUGCGAACGGGUGAGUAACGCGUAGGUAACCUGCCUUGUAGCGGGGGAUAACUAUUGGGAACGAUAGCUAAUACCGCAUAACAAUGGAUGACACAUGUCAUUUAUUUGAAAGGGGCAAUUGCUCCACUACAAGAUGGACCUGCGUUGUAUUAGCUAGUAGGUGAGGUAAUGGCUCACCUAGGCGACGAUACAUAGCCGACCUGAGAGGGUGAUCGGCCACACUGGGACUGAGACACGGCCCAGACUCCUACGGGAGGCAGCAGUAGGGAAUCUUCGGCAAUGGGGGCAACCCUGACCGAGCAACGCCGCGUGAGUGAAGAAGGUUUUCGGAUCGUAAAGCUCUGUUGUAAGUCAAGAACGGGUGUGAGAGUGGAAAGUUCACACUGUGACGGUAGCUUACCAGAAAGGGACGGCUAACUACGUGCCAGCAGCCGCGGUAAUACGUAGGUCCCGAGCGUUGUCCGGAUUUAUUGGGCGUAAAGCGAGCGCAGGCGGUUUGAUAAGUCUGAAGUUAAAGGCUGUGGCUCAACCAUAGUUCGCUUUGGAAACUGUCAAACUUGAGUGCAGAAGGGGAGAGUGGAAUUCCAUGUGUAGCGGUGAAAUGCGUAGAUAUAUGGAGGAACACCGGUGGCGAAAGCGGCUCUCUGGUCUGUAACUGACGCUGAGGCUCGAAAGCGUGGGGAGCGAACAGGAUUAGAUACCCUGGUAGUCCACGCCGUAAACGAUGAGUGCUAGGUGUUGGAUCCUUUCCGGGAUUCAGUGCCGCAGCUAACGCAUUAAGCACUCCGCCUGGGGAGUACGACCGCAAGGUUGAAACUCAAAGGAAUUGACGGGGGCCCGCACAAGCGGUGGAGCAUGUGGUUUAAUUCGAAGCAACGCGAAGAACCUUACCAGGUCUUGACAUCCCGAUGCUAUUUCUAGAGAUAGAAAGUUACUUCGGUACAUCGGUGACAGGUGGUGCAUGGUUGUCGUCAGCUCGUGUCGUGAGAUGUUGGGUUAAGUCCCGCAACGAGCGCAACCCCUAUUGUUAGUUGCCAUCAUUCAGUUGGGCACUCUAGCGAGACUGCCGGUAAUAAACCGGAGGAAGGUGGGGAUGACGUCAAAUCAUCAUGCCCCUUAUGACCUGGGCUACACACGUGCUACAAUGGUUGGUACAACGAGUUGCGAGUCGGUGACGGCGAGCUAAUCUCUUAAAGCCAAUCUCAGUUCGGAUUGUAGGCUGCAACUCGCCUACAUGAAGUCGGAAUCGCUAGUAAUCGCGGAUCAGCACGCCGCGGUGAAUACGUUCCCGGGCCUUGUACACACCGCCCGUCACACCACGAGAGUUUGUAACACCCGAAGUCGGUGAGGUAACCUUUUGGAGCCAGCCGCCUAAGGUGGGACAGAUGAUUGGGGUG
rnacentral:rRNA from 1 species